rnacentral:rRNA from 1 species
AGAGUUUGAUCAUGGCUCAGAUUGAACGCUGGCGGCAGGCUUAACACAUGCAAGUCGAGCGGGGGAAGGUAGCUUGCUACUGGACCUAGCGGCGGACGGGUGAGUAAUGCUUAGGAAUCUGCCUAUUAGUGGGGGACAACAUCUCGAAAGGGAUGCUAAUACCGCAUACGUCCUACGGGAGAAAGCAGGGGAUCUUCGGACCUUGCGCUAAUAGAUGAGCCUAAGUCGGAUUAGCUAGUUGGUGGGGUAAAGGCCUACCAAGGCGACGAUCUGUAGCGGGUCUGAGAGGAUGAUCCGCCACACUGGGACUGAGACACGGCCCAGACUCCUACGGGAGGCAGCAGUGGGGAAUAUUGGACAAUGGGGGGAACCCUGAUCCAGCCAUGCCGCGUGUGUGAAGAAGGCCUUAUGGUUGUAAAGCACUUUAAGCGAGGAGGAGGCUACUUUAGUUAAUACCUAGAGAUAGUGGACGUUACUCGCAGAAUAAGCACCGGCUAACUCUGUGCCAGCAGCCGCGGUAAUACAGAGGGUGCGAGCGUUAAUCGGAUUUACUGGGCGUAAAGCGUGCGUAGGCGGCUUAUUAAGUCGGAUGUGAAAUCCCCGAGCUUAACUUGGGAAUUGCAUUCGAUACUGGUGAGCUAGAGUAUGGGAGAGGAUGGUAGAAUUCCAGGUGUAGCGGUGAAAUGCGUAGAGAUCUGGAGGAAUACCGAUGGCGAAGGCAGCCAUCUGGCCUAAUACUGACGCUGAGGUACGAAAGCAUGGGGAGCAAACAGGAUUAGAUACCCUGGUAGUCCAUGCCGUAAACGAUGUCUACUAGCCGUUGGGGCCUUUGAGGCUUUAGUGGCGCAGCUAACGCGAUAAGUAGACCGCCUGGGGAGUACGGUCGCAAGACUAAAACUCAAAUGAAUUGACGGGGGCCCGCACAAGCGGUGGAGCAUGUGGUUUAAUUCGAUGCAACGCGAAGAACCUUACCUGGCCU